rnacentral:rRNA from 1 species
CCUACGGGAGGCUGCAGUGAGGAAUAUUGGUCAAUGGACGAGAGUCUGAACCAGCCAAGUAGCGUGAAGGAUGACUGCCCUAUGGGUUGUAAACUUCUUUUAUAUGGGAAUAAAACGUUCCACGUGUGGGAUUUUGUAUGUACCAUAUGAAUAAGGAUCGGCUAACUCCGUGCCAGCAGCCGCGGUAAUACGGAGGAUCCGAGCGUUAUCCGGAUUUAUUGGGGUUAAAGGGAGCGUAGGUGGAUUGGUAAGUCAGUUGUGAAAGUUUGCGGCUCAACCGUAAAAUUGCAGUUGAAACUGGCAGUCUUGAGUACAGUAGAGGUGGGCGGAAUUCGUGGUGUAGCGGUGAAAUGCUUAGAUAUCACGAAGAACACCGAUUGCGAAGGCAGUUCACUGGACUGCAACUGACACUGAGGCUCGAAAGUGUGGGUAUCAAACAGGAUUAGAUACCCGUGUAGUC